rnacentral:rRNA from 1 species
UGAGGAAUAUUGGUCAAUGGACGAGAGUCUGAACCAGCCAAGUAGCGUGAAGGAUGACUGCCCUAUGGGUUGUAAACUUCUUUUAUAUGGGAAUAAAGUGAUCCACGUGUGGAUUUUUGUAUGUACCAUAUGAAUAAGGAUCGGCUAACUCCGUGCCAGCAGCCGCGGUAAUACGGAGGAUCCGAGCGUUAUCCGGAUUUAUUGGGUUUAAAGGGAGCGUAGGUGGACAGUUAAGUCAGUUGUGAAAGUUUGCGGCUCAACCGUAAAAUUGCAGUUGAUACUGGCUGUCUUGAGUACAGUAGAGGUGGGCGGAAUUCGUGGUGUAGCGGUGAAAUGCUUAGAUAUCACGAAGAACUCCGAUUGCGAAGGCAGCUCACUGGACUGCAACUGACACUGAUGCUCGAAAGUGUGGGUAUCAAACAGGAUUAGAUACCCUGGUAGUCCACACAGUAAACGAUGAAUACUCGCUGUUUGCGAUAUACAGUAAGCGGCCAAGCGAAAGCAUUAAGUAUUCCACCUGGGGAGUACGCCGGCAACGGUGAAACUCAAAGGAAUUGACGGGGGCCCGCACAAGCGGAGGAACAUGUGGUUUAAUUCGAUGAUACGCGAGGAACCUUACCCGGCCUUAAAUUGCAUUUGAAUAAUCAAGAAAUUGGUUAGUCGUAAGACAAAUGUGAAGGUGCUGCAUGGUUGUCGUCAGCUCGUGCCGUGAGGUGUCGGCUUAAGUGCCAUAACGAGCGCAACCCUUAUCUUCAGUUACUAACAGGUCAUGCUGAGGACUCUGGAGAGACUGCCGUCGUAAGAUGUGAGGAAGGUGGGGAUGACGUCAAAUCAGCACGGCCCUUACGUCCGGGGCUACACACGUGUUACAAUGGGGGGUACAGAAGGCCGCUACCUGGUGACAGGAUGCUAAUCCCAAAAGCCUCUCUCAGUUCGGAUCGAAGUCUGCAACCCGACUUCGUGAAGCUGGAUUCGCUAGUAAUCGCGCAUCAGCCAUGGCGCGGUGAAUACGUUCCC